rnacentral:lncRNA from 1 species
CCUCUGUGAAAGAGGGAGCAUUGAAUGUUUUUAAAGCAGAAGGAGUGCUGUCAGGACGGAGGCAGCACAGAGCGAGGAGGCCAGCUGGGAGGCUACUGCAAGAGUCCGGGGGAGAGGAGAUGAGGCCCUGAACCAUGGUGACUGAAUUCCUAGGGUUCCUAGUCAUUCCUCAUUCUUCCCAGAUGCUUCAGUGAAGGGGGAGACAAAGACUAGAGAAGGAAGCCAGACCAACGUGGGGUAGGUUUCACCCUGUUUCUUGGAAGAUUCCUCCCUUCUGAGUCAGAGCAACAUCUUUAUACAUACACGGGAGCUGUGGGCUGAGGAAGCUAAUUCACCUUAAAAAUAAGAAAGUUGUUGGCAUCCAAAAUUUUUCACAUGAAAAUAGAAGACUCAGAUAGCAAUUUGGUGCAUUCGUGGAAGGACCCAAUAAAGAGGUAGGAAUCAAGAUCUCUCAUUUAUCUG